ensembl:snoRNA
CCAGACUGUGCACUGUGCUGCGGCCCCAGGCUGCUUCUGUCAGCCAGAGAAAUGUUCCAGGGGCUGUGGCUGCCUAAGCUGCCAAGGGCUAUGCAACUGCCUAGGGACACAAGG